GUUUUUUGUUUUGUUUUGGGGCUUUUUUGUUUUUUAAUUUUAACAAAUUUUUCAGCUUCAGCUACAUGUUUGUUCGAUGCAGAUGACGGGAGAACUGUUUCUUUUAUUUUGAUGAAGAGAAACUUUGAUUUUUCUUAAGGAUGAGCUCCUCCACAUUGUCCAUAAAAAUUGGAUGUAUUUAAAUUUUUAUUCACAUCUAACUUCAGAUACAUAGGAUUUGGUAAUUCAGCCAUUGCUGUAGAUUUAAAACUUGAUUUACAGGAAAUUUACGUUGCUUAAUUUAGGCAGUACAACAGGUUUUGACCUUUAGGAGAGAGCCAAUUCUGGAGAACAACCUAACUUCUUUGAUUGAACAUUCACAUAAUGCAUUGGAACAUGAUAGGAGAUUAAGCUGGGGGAGCAGGGGCUGGGAGAUUGCUGCUGCUUGUCAGCUGUUGUACAGAAUAGCAUCAAUAUGCAAUAAUGGUGGCCAAAGGAGCCUGCACCCACCAGCUUUCACAGACCAGGUAGGAAGGGCCCAACUGUCAUUAAAAUCCGUAUUUAGUAUAAUGAAUACAUUCUUUGACAGAAAGGUACUUUCUUCCGAAAGCUGCAUGAAAAAAACAGUAGUUGCUUAUAGUUCUUAGAGCUAUAUUAUUUUUCUAUUAUUUACUCUACAGUUUUAGUUCAUUUAAUUUUUAAUCUGUUAAUUCCAUCUGUUUGAAUGGAAAACCAUUUUCUAGAAGCAUAUAUGGUUUCAUGCUUUUUACUUUUAAGCUGGUAGAAGGAAAAAAUAUUAUUAGUUACUGAUAACACAAGUUAGGUAUUGUAUUAAGGAAAGAAAAGUUGACUAUGGCCACACUGCAGUGUUCCUUUCACUUUGGGACCAUAUUCUGAGCCCCGUCUAAACAAGACCAAAAUGUUAUUGAUUUCACUAUAACUAAAAAGAAUGCCCCAUACUGCUUAGUGUUGUAUUAACUAAAGAAAAUCAGGCUGCACUUGGAAAUUUACUCUUUACUUUUUCUAGUAAAAUAAUGUUUUAUAUCUGGAAGUUCGGAUUCUUUUAAAUCUUUGGGAAAUAGGGCUUUAUAAUAUCAAAUGAUACAGAAGGAUGUUUUUUAUCUUUGCAAUUUGAAUUUUCACACAUCUGCAUAACCUAGGUAUCUGUGCAUUUUUUUUCUUUUGUAUCUAAAUAAGAUUCUAAUAGGUUGUAGUUACAGGGAAGUGAAUAUUAGAUUGCUACUAAAGUUCUGAUUUCAAAAAAAAAAAGUUCUGAUUUCAUUUGUAGCCAUCUAGAUAGAAAACUACAAAUGACAUUUCAUUUUAGUAUAUAAGUCUAAUGUCCCAAUUUAAAGUCUGACAUUUGCAGUAACAUUUUUUAAAAAAGGUAUUCAUAGUUUUUCCUUGGUCACCUUCAUUUAAAUCACAGUCACUCCCAGUCUUAAUGUUGUCCCUUACAAUUGUGGUGAACUCCGAAUAUGAAUACUAUCAAAACAAACUUUGUUUUAGUGUGCUUAGGUAUCUGAAAUCAUAAUCUGAAAUAAUGAGCCCAAAACCUGGUCUAACAUGAAGUCAGACAUAUUCAACCAUAAAUUGAAAUUACUUUUUUUUUUUUGCUAAGAUAUUUUCUUUAGUAUGUUGAUGUAAUUAACAGAUAACAUUUUAAUUAGUUACCUGCUUUUAAGCAAAAAGUGAGUUGCAAAAUCCUUCAUACUUAAAACACCUUGUUUUACUAUGAAUUACUACAUAAAAUGUCUAUGGACCACCUGUACCAGAAUAACUUUGAAUAAAGCAUUUUACCAGAUCUGCUGAAUCAGAUCCUUUGGAGCUAGGAUUCAGGAAUUUGUAUUUUUUACAAGUUCCAAGUGAAUUUUUUUAGAAGCACCACAUGAGAGGAGCACUGCCCAAAAUGAAAUGGGGGAGGAUUCUUCACACUAAUAAACCAUUUAUAUUUUCUGCUCCCUCUUCCUCACUGUCCUUUGGUCAUUGUGGAUCUAAGCUCAGUAACUAAUUCUGAAUCUUAUCAUUUCUACCACAGUAGUUCUAAAUUAAGUCUUGGUAUUUAUUUAAUCAUAUAAGGAAAAUCUGUAUUAUGAGAGCUUUAUUUUUGUGCAAGUACCUUUGGGCAAAUUUUAGUGUCUUUUGUUUGUAUUAUUUAGUUAUAACUAUGUUAUUAGAUCUACACUUGAUAAAAACGGAAGGAUUUAAUCACUUACGGAUUUUUAAAAUUUUCCUCUAGUUAGUGGCUAUUUUUCUUAAAUAUACUUCCAAAUACUGGAGAAAAUAAAGAACUUUUCAUGUGCUGCUUAUGGGAGCAUCUGACAAUAUCUUAGUAAAGUUAAGAUACAUAGUCUUGAACCUAACAAUUCCAUUCCUAGAUGUUUUAGAUAAACUAAGACAUGUAUGGAAAAAUCUUGUUUACUUUUAUUUUUAAUGGGGAAAAUCAAAAGCACUAUAAAUAUUAAACAACAGGAAAAUGGCAAAUGUGGCAUAGUCAUAUGAUGAACUGUUUGUUAUAUUGCUAUUAAAAUAAGAGCUCUUUGAUCAUGAAUGUCUUCAAACAAAAAGUUGCAAAACGUUAUAUACUAUAUAAUAACAUUUUUAUGGAGUAUGUAUAUGAUAUACAUUUAAAUAGAUCUUGAAAGCAAUGAUAUAUAGUUUUAAGUACUUGAAUUUACAAUAGUAGUAGUGAAAAAACAUGCAAAGGAAAUACAUACCAAAUUCAAGGUUGUGAUUUUAUGUUAGGAGGGAGGAGAAUGGGAUCAGGAUAUGGUACAAAAAGGACUUAACACUAUUGUCUUUUUUCUUAAAGAUACGUAAGGAGCACCUGGGCGUUUCAGUCAGUGGUUUAGCAUCUGCCUUCAGCUCGGGUCAUGGUCCCAGGAUCCUGGGAUUGAGCCCUCCCCUUCCCCCCAGUCUGGCUCUACUCAGCGGGGAGUCAGCUACUCCCUCUGCCACUCCCUGCUUGUUCUGUCUCUCUCUCUCUCUCUCUCUCAAAUAACUGAACUCUUUAAAAACCUACAUAGAACAAAAUAAGCAUGCCAGGAUAUUCGAAUUCAGUCAGAAGCUUGGGGUAGGAUGCGGGGAUUCAUGUUGGUAUUGUCUUGAUUUUUCUGUGGAUCUGAAAUUUUUUUUCAAGUAUACUUAAAAAUGUACUGUCUUUAUUUUGAUGAAGAUAUUCUGCAAUAAGAUGUAUACUUAGAAUGCUCCAUUAAAAGCAUGAAUGAGUUUAUUCUACUUGUUCUAUAUCUUAUAGUAAGUACUUAACCACUAGUUAGUAUGAGAACCACAAUUUACAGUCAUGGCCCACAAAAAGUAAACAUUGUAACCAGUUUAAAUUAGGAUAUUUUUAAAUUUUUUCAUUUUUAAAGAUAAACUAAUGUUUCCUUUCUUUGCAUACUGGCUGUUAAUACUUCCUAAUCUUGUAAAUAAAGGACAACCUUAGAAAUAGUUUUUCUUAUCACUGCUCUUGCAUAUACUCUUGAAUUCACACAAUUUCAUAAUGGUAUUUUCUUUUAUUAUGGCUAUAGAUCAUAACAUUAUUUUCAGACAUUUCUUUAAGCAUUUGAAGUCCAGCUUAAGCUCUGCGUUUAUAUUGUAUUACAGUAGAAUUCUUGGAAUUGGGCAAUAUGUGGAUUUUUAUUAGAUUUUGCAUUUGUACAUGUGCAUAUAUGUGUGCUUAAAAGAAAGACUGGUCAGUUUUGAGGUAUUAUCUUGAAUUUAUCUUAAAAUAUCUGCAAUUAUAUGAUGUGUUCUAAGUUAGACAUUGAAGUAUGAGUUUUAGUUGCACUUACAUAUUUGGUUCUUAAACUUUGAGAAAGUAAUAGUAAUAGAAAAGUGAAUUUAAAAAAUUAUAACACUGUGGACUGAAAUAUAUAAAUUCUGCUGGGUAUUUAUAAUCUGUGAUUGUGCUGUAUACGGAUCAGAAAAUCAUGAUUAUCAAUGUCAGUUGAAAAUUUUCUAACCUACAUAAUGUGAUCAAAUUGUUAAAGUCU
rnacentral:lncRNA from 1 species